ACAAGCGUUCUCACCAUAGGUGAAAGAGACCGUCAUUUAUCAAAACUAGUUAGUUUACAGCAAAUAACAACUCUGGAAUUAUAAAGAGGACAUCUUUAGCUUUUGAUUCAUGUAUAACAUUGUAUGUAAACUUGAAUUUGGCGGUCGGGAAGAGUUGGAGAAGAUCUUGUUGCAUUUAUAUAGGGUAAAUGUUACUGUUCUUCACUGUAACGUGAGCAAGCAAAUAAACAACCUUUUUGGACAUAUCCAUGCAGCUGAAGCCAAUUAUUAAGAUAUGUUGAAGGGUCAGCAAAAUGCUCAUCAAUGUCCAGUACCAUGGAGAAAAAAGUACCUCAAACUGCAGCCUGGUUUUUCUUUUGAAAGUUUCAUUCGAGAAGGCACAUCAGUCCACUGGUGCAAAAGAAGAGAACACCUCUGCCAUAGGAGAUUCAGCAGAAAAAGGUCAAACAGAUGGUCCAGGAGGUUCUGGAGAAGAGUUAAAUGGGAGAGGAAAUAAUGGAGGAGUAUAGUAGAGCACCUUGACACACUGUACAAGAAGGCAUCUUCUGAAUAUCCUGGUCCAUGGAAGGAUACCAGUACGUAGUCAAAGAGAAAGAAAUGCACUCGGCAUUGUGACUGUUUCCUAAUCUCAGGGAUCCUUACUCCACCAAUGGCUAUGUAAGAUUUUACUCAUU